rnacentral:rRNA from 2 species
GACGAAAGUCUGAUGGAGCAACGCCGCGUGAGUGAAGAAGGGUUUCGGCUCGUAAAACUCUGUUGUUAAAGAAGAACAUAUCUGAGAGUAACUGUUCAGGUAUUGACGGUAUUUAACCAGAAAGCCACGGCUAACUACGUGCCAGCAGCCGCGGUAAUACGUAGGUGGCAAGCGUUGUCCGGAUUUAUUGGGCGUAAAGCGAGCGCAGGCGGUUUUUUAAGUCUGAUGUGAAAGCCUUCGGCUCAACCGAAGAAGUGCAUCGGAAACUGGGAAACUUGAGUGCAGAAGAGGACAGUGGAACUCCAUGUGUAGCGGUGAAAUGCGUAGAUAUAUGGAAGAACACCAGUGGCGAAGGCGGCUGUCUGGUCUGUAACUGACGCUGAGGCUCGAAAGUAUGGGUAGCAAACAGGAUUAGAUACCCUGGUAGUCCAUACCGUAAACGAUGAAUGCUAAGUGUUGGAGGGUUUCCGCCCUUCAGUGCUGCAGCUAACGCAUUAAGCAUUCCGCCUGGGGAGUACGGCCGCAAGGCUGAAACUCAAAGGAAUUGACGGGGGCCCGCACAAGCGGUGGAGCAUGUGGUUUAAUUCGAAGCUACGCGAAGAACCUUACCAGGUCUUGACAUACUAUGCAAAUCUAAGAGAUUAGACGUUCCCUUCGGGGACAUGGAUACAGGUGGUGCAUGGUUGUCGUCAGCUCGUGUCGUGAGAUGUUGGGUUAAGUCCCGCAACGAGCGCAACCCUUAUUAUCAGUUGCCAGCAUUAAGUUGGGCACUCUGGUGAGACUGCCGGUGACAAACCGGAGGAAGGUGGGGGAUGACGUCAAAUCAUCAUGCCCCUUAUGACCUGGGCUACACACGUGCUACAAUGGAUGGUACAACGAGUUGCGAACUCGCGAGAGUAAGCUAAUCUCUUAAAGCCAUU